GAAAUCUAUAUUAUAUAUAAAGCAGCAGUUGUAACGGAUAGAAAUUCCCGGCAAUUUUUAACAGUUAUUUUUCCAAAGUUUUAGCUAUAUUUGAAAGAUCGUGUAUGAAGCAAAAAUUCAGCUUUUUUUUCUCCUACAUUUCGAAUCAACAAUAGUGCAGUUUGUAUCCAAAAUCAAACACAUUUGAAAACACACAAAUUACAUAAACAUGAAUUUCAGCAAUAAUCCAGCAACUACACCAACAAAUUUAUCUUAAAUAAGAAAUUUUCAAAAUC
rnacentral:lncRNA from 1 species